rnacentral:rRNA from 1 species
AACGCUAGCUACAGGCUUAACACAUGCAAGUCGAGGGGCAGCAUGAACUUAGCUUGCUAAGUUUGAUGGCGACCGGCGCACGGGUGAGUAACGCGUAUCCAACCUUCCGUUUACUCAGGGAUAGCCUUUCGAAAGAAAGAUUAAUACCUGAUGGUAUCUUAAUGACUCAUGUAAUUAAGAUUAAAGAUUAAUCGGUAAACGAUGGGGAUGCGUUCCAUUAGGUAGUAGGCGGGGUAACGGCCCACCUAGCCGACGAUGGAUAGGGGUUCUGAGAGGAAGGUCCCCCACAUUGGAACUGAGACACGGUCCAAACUCCUACGGGAGGCAGCAGUGAGGAAUAUUGGUCAAUGGGCGAGAGCCUGAACCAGCCAAGUAGCGUGAAGGAUGAAGGUUCUAUGGAUUGUAAACUUCUUUUAUAAGGGAAUAACAGACGUUACGUGUAGCGUUUUGCAUGUACCUUAUGAAUAAGCAUCGGCUAACUCCGUGCCAGCAGCCGCGGUAAUACGGAGGAUGCGAGCGUUAUCCGGAUUUAUUGGGUUUAAAGGGAGCGUAGACGGCGGUUUAAGUCAGCUGUGAAAUGGUGCGGCUCAACCGUAGCACUGCAGUUGAAACUGGACGGCUUGAGUGCAGUUGAGGCAGGCGGAAUUCGUGGUGUAGCGGUGAAAUGCUUAGAUAUCACGAAGAACUCCGAUUG